ACAAACAUAAACACAGACUUUUAUAAAAACAUCACAUGAGGUCAGUAAGUCUAUUGAUCCCAGCAUGCCUGUUCCUCACAGCUUGCCUCCACAGCUCCAUCCUCUCUAAAGACAAUACUUUUCCACAUGACUUGGUCCUAUAAAAAGACCCAGAUCAUUCUGCUAAGCCUGCACAUCUGCGUCCGUGUCUGAGGCCCUCUCGGCCAGCUGGGACUCUUAUCAGCUGCAGAUGACCUUUGCACAACACUCUCCACUGCAUCACUGAUUCCAUCAAACCACAUUUUUUCUUCCAUUUUCAGGUGUUCCGUACAUGGUUGAAAAAGCAUGCCAAUUGUUUUCUUACAUAGCAAUCUCCACCACUGAUAAGAAAUGCAACCUGCUUGCCGCAUAACAGUAAAAUGAGAGAUUAACAUAAAAAGGACUACAUUUAUGUAAAUGUUAUCAACAAAUGUCAACAUAAGCUUAUCUUACAUACACAACUGCCCUUCUAUAUUGUGUUAAAUUGACUGCACUGCAUAUAACAUACUGUCUGUUAAAGGUGCAGAAAGUGAUUUCUGAGAAACGCUAUUGAAAGUGGAUUGGACCGAGCACAACACACUUGUAGCCAAUCAGCAAUAGGGGGCGUGUCCACUCAUGAGGGGGGGAUUUGAAGAAAGACUGUAGAAAGAGAAAUGGCUGAGAGACAUUACAAAAGAGAAAAGUUUAGAGGAAUAUCACUGGAGAAAGAAGGGUUAUGAUCAGGCAAGUGCUUUAGGACCCACUUUCCAGUGCUGGAGAGACCUAAGCGGGAAGGCCCGAAAUGGACGCCGAGGUUGCAGUGUUUCUUCUCCAUACGUGAGUAACAUUGGUUUUGCUGUUUCACAGAACCAAGAUAUGCUGUUGUUGUAAUGUUAGCUAGAGUAACAGGACAGUUUUGAGUGUCAUUGUUUGUUUGGAGCUGCUGUGCUGCUGCUGGCGACUAACAACCAACUCUUGCUUGUGCUGUAUGUUAAUUUUGUGUUUUUCCUUGUUGUUCGUCAUAUUCGCUGUAUUUUUUUUUUUGCUUCAGAUACGAUAAAGAGACAUCCACUCUUGCAUUGUGCGUUUUUGCAUUUCGGGGGCGGAGCAAUGAAUGGAAGGGUGUGUUUGUUUGGGUUGAUUUGUUUUGGUCGUGUUCAACCAUGUUUCUCAGAAAUUGCUUACUGCACCUUUGAAGCUGCAGUCUGUAAUUUUGCCUCUUUGUCGCCAUCUCUGUUUGAAACCUGCAAUUGCAGUUGUUUGCGGAAUUAUUAUCUGUACGUGCGUUGUGCAUCGGCACGGCUCCUCAGCGCGGAUGAAUCUAAUGUUUGCUGUCAAUCACCACAUCGGUGUGGACACUGUACUUCGGAAUCACAGAUUGUAGUCUUGGAAGUAUGACCAAAAUAAGAAUUUUCACCAGAAAACGUCAUCUGAACAAGUAAGUAACAUGUCUGCCACUUUUGUUCUGACUAACUGAGGGAAAAAAAGCAUUACAGUUAAUCGCGCUGCCAAUGGUGAUUAAAUCUAACAAUUGCUUAGCUCAUAUCACAUCAAACCGUGCAAAUUAUUAUUAUUGUUAUACUUUGUUCUCAAAUUGUUAAUGUUAACAACAUCAGCAUCGCGUGACUAUGUGUAUUUAGUGUGUACUACCGUUACCUGUAGAUUUCAAUUUCUGUACAGUCUAAUCACUAAAGUUAAUUUGUCAUACCAAACAAUCCGCCAUCAGAAUGAUAAGUUUAAUUAUUGCACUUGCUGUAAGAAAAGGCUAUAAAUGAUCCGCCUCACAUACGAUAUAGCCUAUACUAGCUGGGACUUGUUCUUUAUGAAUACAGACGUGACGCAGUGACACAAAGACGAACGGCAACACGCUUGAAUUUCCCGCGGAAACCCGCCAGUACCACCCGAAUUAUAAAACAUUAUUACAAGCUUACCGUUGUGAAUCGGGCUAAGUCAGAUGUUCUUCCACUGAUCCUUUGAGCAUCUUGUGCUUCAUUCUCAAAUACUGAUCAUCAGAUUGUAGGCUAUACAAACUUGUGGCGUUCAUGCAGCUGGAGUUCUGAGUCCACAGGAAUCCUGUGCAGAAGAAGUAAACUCACCUGUGUCUCUGCAACAGUGGCUUUCCUUCAAACUGAGGGGAUACUACAAGAACUUUAAAACUGGCAGCACAUCUAUUGGGAGACGUGUCUUCUACAUCCUGAAAGAAAAAC